rnacentral:lncRNA from 1 species
UGUGAUUCUAUCUCAUAAACUAUGAGAUAUAACCUCAAUCUCAACUUUAGAUUAACAUCAAUUCUGGAAAAAGAAGGAAAGAAGAAGAGAAAAUUAACAUCAUGUUUUACAAUAAUAAAUAGACAUAUGACAAUGCACUGGACUGUUGAAAGCAUUAGACAAAUUCAAUACCGAAGGUACGACCAAAAUUGCGGUGUUAGAAUCCUCCAUAGGGCGAUUAGCGUCUGUUGCUGAAACCGAACCAAAUGAGAAGAAGAAGACUGAGUUGUUGUCCAUCGUUGAGAGCUAUAAGGAACAAUUAAAUAUGUUCUUGGUGGUCUUUCGCAAGGCUAAUGUCGUUAGCACUUGUGUCAUAAAUUAGCUAGAGAGAAUCUGCUCUUCUUGCCAGAGGAGUGGCAAAAUGCUCUUCGUAAACGACGAGACAAAUAAAGUUUGAUAGAUUCUUCUAGCCAAAUCACAGAUAAAUUAUUCAGCAUCGUAAGGCAUCUAGCUGAGACAACUCAGAGAAGUGCUGAUAUAUAUUCGACAUAUUGUUAAUAUCCUCUGACAAGGUUGAUAACACGAGAAACGAGCUGCAGUAUCAAGAGCAAGUGAUAGUGCAAUCGGGAAAGCUCUUAGGAAAAUAUGGUAAAUACGAAGUCACUGAUGAAGUAUUACUUGCAUUGGCCUUCGCGUUCUUCCUCGCCUACGUGUUUUACAUUUCACAAAAGAGACUGUUCUGAAAGCCCUUUGUAUGUGAUAUUAAUGAAAUGGAUUGAUCAUUUACGGUGAUAUUGCGAUUGUAACUUAUUGCGCAGGAACUCUCACGAUAAAUGACAUAGAGAAUGUAUGUACUAUUUAAGAGGAGAAAUCAGCAGAACUUGCAUGAAAGAGCAGCAGUAUUAGUAGCAACAAGAGCAGCAGCGUCAGUAGCAGCAUCAGUAGCAGCAGCGGCAGCGGCGGCGUCCGCGACGGAGGGGCGUCCGCGGCGGCGGCGGCGCUGGGACGUCGAUGGUAACGGGGCGUAGCCGGUGGCCGCGGCGGCGGCAGCGGUGGCGGGGCGGCCACGGCGGCGCGGCCUGGUUAUACGCUCGUAAAUGAGAGCUGCAUGGCAAAAAAAUAAGAUCCAGUUUAAUUGAAUCCUUGCGCCGCACGGAGGAUCGCAAAUGGAUCUUUGCGAGCAAUCGACGACCCUCCUAUUUUUCAUGUUCUGUAAUGUGUAAAA